rnacentral:tRNA from 1 species
UCUUCAGUAGAUCAGUGGUAGAGCGGUGGGCUGUUAACCGAUUGGUCGUAGGUUCGAAUCCUACUUGGGGAG